AUUGAACGCUGGCGGCAGGCCUAACACAUGCAAGUCGAACGGUAACAGGAAGCAGCUUGCUGCUUCGCUGACAAGUGGCGGACGGGUGAGUAAUGUCUGGGAAGCUGCCUGAUGGAGGGGGAUAACUACUGGAAACGGUAGCUAAUACCGCAUAAUGUCGCAAGACCAAAGAGGGGGACCUUCGGGCCGCUUGCCAUCGGAUGUGCCCAGAUGGGAUUAGCUUGUUGGUGGGGUAACGGCUCACCAAGGCGACGAUCCCGUAGCUGGUCUGAGAGGAUGACCAGCCACACUGGAACUGAGACACGGUCCAGACUCCUACGGGAGGCAGCAGUGGGGAAUAUUGCACAAUGGGCACAAGCCUGAUGCAGCCAUGCCGCGUGUAUGAAGAA
rnacentral:rRNA from 1 species